rnacentral:lncRNA from 1 species
GCCGCCAGGACCGACCGUGCGCGGCUCGAGCGGUCCGAGCCGCGGCGGCGGACGGAGAGCGGACAGACGGACGGACGGACGGGCAGACCCACGAGCCUCCUCCCGUCCUGAGGGGCCGGCCCGCCAUGCCGCGCUGCUCCCACUGAACCAGGAGCCGAGGAUGUCCGCGCUGAGGAAGGCUUUCCCACCAUCUGAGGCACGGCCAUAAGCACGGCCCGGUUUCCCAGCAGCUGCCGGUGAAUGCCCUCAGCCAGCACCCAGCGCAGCCAGAAUGGGGACGGCUCAGGUUUUGCCUGGCAUUCUGCAGAAGCAUUGCUGUAUCUUACCAGACAGGAAUACAGAUUACAAUGCCCGUUUCCUCGGAGGCAUCACGGGAUGUGUCAUACGAGGACCCUGCCCGUCACUUAUAUUAAGACAAUUUCCUUAAUUUGUCACUGCGUUCGUCUCCGCAUCUGAAAACUGAAAAGAACCACAAUAGCAGAAGAACGGAAGAAGCUCUAUUACUAUUUAGAUAUUUGUUUUGUCAUUUUUGCAUCAAAAAUAUUGAAAACUGAAAUUAAACAUCUAUAAAGUAUUUCAUAUGACUCAGAUUUUUUUUUUACCUUCAGCUUUAUUAAGGUAUAAUUGACAUAUGAAAUUGUAAGAUAUUUAAGUGUACAUCAUGAUUAUUUAAUCUACGUAUACACUGAGAAAGGACCCGUGCCGUCUAGUUAAUUAACACAUAUUUAUUUUCUGUUGGUGGUGGUGAGAACAUUGAAGUUCUACUGUCUUAGAAAUUUCAAUUAUGCAAAACAAUGUUAUCAACUAUAAUCAUGGUGUACAUUAUAUCCUCAGACCUUACUCAUCUUAUCACUGAAAGUCUGUACUCUUUUCCUAACCUCUUCCAAUUUCCCCCACCCCAACCCCUGGCAACCACUUUUCUACUCUCUGCUUCUAUGAGUUUGACUUUUUUUUUUUGAUUCCAUGUAUAAGUGAUACCAUGCAGUAUUUGUCCUUCUCUGUCUGACUUAUUGCUCUAAGCAUAAUGUCCUCAAGGUCCAUCCAAGUUGUCGCACGUGGCAGGAUUUCCUUCUUUCUCAUGACUGAGUAGGAUUCCACUGUGUAUACAACACAUCUUCUUUAUCCAUUCAUCCAUCGAUGGACACUUAGGUUGUUUCCAUAAUGACUCAGAUUUCUUAUUUAAGGAAAACAUAAUGUUUAUAUAUAAAUCUUUAUUUAUAUAUUUAUAUAUAAAUUAACAUUUAAUUUUUUUUCUAAAGAGUGGCACCUGAGCUAACUUCUGUUGCCAAUCUUCUUUUUCUUUUUUCCUUCUUCUUCUUCUCCCCAAAGCCCCCCAGUACAUAGUUGCAUAUUCUAGUUGUGAGUGCCUCUGGUUGUGCUAUGUGGGACGCUGCCUCAACGUGGCUUGAUGAGCGGUGCCGUGUCUGUGCCCAGGAUCCGAACCGGUGAAACCGUG